AGGGAAGGAGGCCAGUGCUACCAAGUUUAUCUCCAAGCCUCAGAUGCCGGAUAAGUCCAAGGAAGGAGAAUGGCUGGGGGAUGACAUUCAGAAAGGCCCCAGUGGUUAUUUGCAAGAGAAAAAGCCUGCCUAUUCUUUCCCAAG
rfam:Erinaceus europaeus cont1.526682, whole genome shotgun sequence.